UCGGAUGCUCUCAAUGCUGCUGCGCUCCAGUGCCUUCCCGCCCCCGCCUGGUGACAAGGCCUUCAUUUGAGGCCAUAACAAUGACAGUGGAGAAGCCCCAGCCGUGCUCCUUGCAUGAAUUCUGGAGCAGAGGAAAUGCAGCUCUUGUGGACCCACUAAAUUCACUCGAUACUUCAAGCAAGGAAUUCAGAAUACUUACAAGCAAAGAGAAAAGCAAAUUCUAAAGGACACAUUCGGUGAUGUGAUUCUAGAUCAAUAGAACAAAGAGAGAUCCAAGAAUUCAGAUUCCUAAAGAAGCGACAUUCAGAUUUAUUGUUAACUUGCCAAUGAACUUCCCACAGACAAGAACCAAAGCCAGCAGAACAAAGCAGCCCCAGAUGUGUUCUACUCUAUUAUCUGAAGUAAAUGAAAAUCAACCCUGAGGUAGAGAACCUCCUUCUACUACCAUCGAAGUCCUUGAUCUGUUUCCCAACAUGAAUUAACCUUUCCAUGUUUUCGUUACAUUUGAACAUCAGGAAUGUGUAGACGGAAGCAGUUCAUCCUGGGAGGUGAGAAUGAGCAUUGAAAGAGCCAUCCGUGAAACCGUAAGGCUGGGAAAGAGAAGUGAAGGGGCACAUGGAAGUGUUCAUCUCUGUGGCAGGGAAAAAUAAUCCGGAGAAGAUGAGUCACACUUCAUUUGUAACCCAUGAAUGAAAAUCAAUACUGUUACCUAUCGUAAAUUACACUGAACAUAGUGCUUACACUUGAGUAGCAAUGCAGUAAAACCACUAUGAGCCAACUGAUUGACUUUUCUAGAUCCCAAUUCUAUCAUUCAUCUUCUGGUAUUCAUCUUCUGGCUUAGCUACUGUUUCCUGGCAUAGAUUCUUAAUAAAGAUCCUUUCUCCUUGGUC